rnacentral:rRNA from 1 species
AUUUUCUUCGGAAAUGAAGAUUUUGUGACUGAGUGGCGGACGGGUGAGUAACGCGUGGGUAACCUGCCUCAUACAGGGGGAUAACAGUUGGAAACGACUGCUAAUACCGCAUAAGCGCACAGUACCGCAUGGUACAGUGUGAAAAACUCCGGUGGUGUGAGAUGGACCCGCGUCUGAUUAGCUGGUUGGUGAGGUAACGGCCCACCAAGGCGACGAUCGGUAGCCGGACUGAGAGGUUGAACGGCCACAUUGGGACUGAGACACGGCCCAGACUCC